rnacentral:rRNA from 1 species
GACGAACGCUGGCGGCGUGCCUAAUACAUGCCAGUAGAACGCUGAAGCGAGGAGCUUGCUCUUCUUGGAUGAGUUGCGAACGGGUGAGUAACGCGUAGGUAACCUGCCUUGUAGCGGGGGAUAACUAUUGGAAACGAUAGCUAAUACCGCAUAACAAUGGAUGACACAUGUCAUUUAUUUGAAAGGGGCAAUUGCUCCACUACAAGAUGGACCUGCGUUGUAUUAGCUAGUAGGUGAGGUAAUGGCUCACCUAGGCGACGAUACAUAGCCGACCUGAGAGGGUGAUCGGCCACACUGGGACUGAGACACGGCCCAGACUCCUACGGGAGGCAGCAGUAGGGAAUCUUCGGCAAUGGGGGCAACCCUGACCGAGCAACGCCGCGUGAGUGAAGAAGGGUUUCGGAUCGUAAAGCUCUGUUGUAAGUCAAGAACGGGUGUGAGAGUGGAAAGUUCACACUGCGACGGUAGCUUACCAGAAAGGGACGGCUAACUACGUG